GCAGAGCCGUAAAAGCAGCGGGAUGGACGCGAGAGACUCUCGGCCCCGGAGCAGAGGCACCUGGCAACGUCACGCAGAGCCCCAAAAGUGGCGGGACAGACGAGGGAAGCGCUCAGCUCGGGCGCCUGGGACGUGGGAAAUGUCGCGCAAAAGAGCUGCGGGACCCACAAGCUUCAUUCUGGUGACGCUUCUUCAUGCUGGCAGUGGCGGUUCUUCCCGAGAGUAGCAGCCAAACCCAGUUUGCAGUUUUUCCAGCACAGGCAGAACCAGAAUUUCUGAGAAGACCAAAAGGUGUGUUGUUUUCUAAGGACUGGGGAGUGCUUCAGUGCAUCCUAGGGUCACCGUAAUUGUAACCCUCAUGUGUGAACAGCAAAAGCAUCUCACAUCUAUGGGGACUGGCUGCCUGCGGUAGGCCUGGAAGAGUACACGGCAGCAGUCGGAGUUUCCAUGCAUAACUUGAUCACUACAUGACAAGAAAGUGGGAGACCUGACGGGCCCCUGGGUCCACGCCUGGGUUCCUUCUCUAAGCACCUCCUUCUCAAUGUCUGACAUCAUGGCACAAACAAAACGAGCAGGGUCCCCAGGUCAUGACCUGAGGGAUCUUUCUGGAAAAAAAUUUGAUGAGUUAUUUUUCUUUUACACAUUUUUCCUAAAAGGUGUUUAAAAACAGCAAUCAAAUCUCUGGUAAUUUUUUCUGCACAUAUUUUCUUCAAGAACAAUUUCAAGUCAGAUAAAGUGGGAAAAGGGGAGGGAUAAGAUUCUUCUUCUCAGUACUUUUUGUUAAUAGACUCCUUCCAAAAAAAAAUUAAAAAUGCCAAAAAUU